rnacentral:rRNA from 1 species
AACGAACGCUGGCGGCAGGCCUAACACAUGCAAGUCGAGCGAGGACUUCGGUCCUAGCGGCGGACGGGUGAGUAACGCGGGGGAACGUGCCCUUUGCUUCGGAAUAGCCCUGGGAAACUGGGAGUAAUACCGGAAGAGUCCCGUUGGGGAAAGAUUUAUCGGCGAAGGAUCGGCCCGCGUUGGAUUAGGUUGGUGGGGGUGUAAUGGCCUACCAAGCCGACGAUCCCUAGCUGGUUUGAGAGGAUGAUCAGCCACACUGGGACUGAGACACGGCCCAGAGUCCUACGGGAGGCAGCAGUGGGGAAUCUUAGACAAUGGGGGAAACCCUGAUCGAGCCAUGCCGCGUGAGCGAUGAAGGCCUUAGGGUUGUAAAGCUCUUUCAGCUGGGAAGAUAAUGACGGUACCAGCAGAAGAAGCCCCGGCUAACUCCGUG